rnacentral:rRNA from 1 species
GACGAACGCUGGCGGCGUGCUUAACACAUGCAAGUCGAACGGAAAGGCCCUGCUUUCGUGGGGUUCUCGAGUGGCGAACGGGUGAGUAACACGUGAGUAACCUGCCCUUGUCUUUGGGAUAACUUCAGGAAACUGGGGCUACUAUCAGAUAGGAGAUCCUGCUGCAUGGUGGGGGUUGGAAAGUCUCGGCGGUCGGGGAUGGACUCGCGGCUUAUCAGCUUGUUGGUGGGGUAGUGGCUUACCGAGGCUUUGACGGGUCGCCGGCCUGGGAGGGGGGACGGCGACCUGGGUCCUGCGAGAGGGCGCAGUCGCCAAUGGGAGGCAGUGGGCGCAAGUCUUGCACAGUGGGCCGACGCCUGUGGCGGAGGCGCUGGGUUUGUGAUGACGGCCUGCGGGGUGUAAACAGCUUUCGCCUGUGACGAAGCGUGAGUGACGGUAAUGGGUAAAGAAGCACCGGCUAACUACGUG